rnacentral:rRNA from 1 species
CCUACGGGAGGCAGCAGUAGGGAAUUUUCCGCAAUGGGCGAAAGCCUGACGGAGCAAUACCGCGUGAGGGAUGACGGCCUGUGGGUUGUAAACCUCUUUUCUCAAGGAAGAAGUUCUGACGGUACUUGAGGAAUAAGCAUCGGCUAACUCUGUGCCAGCAGCCGCGGUAAUACAGAGGAUGCAAGCGUUAUCCGGAAUCACUGGGCAUAAAGCGUCUGUAGGUUGUUUAGUAAGUCUGCUGUUAAAGACUGGGGCUUAACCCCAGAAAAGCAGUGGAAACUGCUAGACUCGAGUGUGGUAGAGGUAGAGGGAAUUCCUAGUGUAGCGGUGAAAUGCGUAGAUAUUAGGAAGAACACCAAUGGCGAAGGCACUCUACUGGGCCAUAACUGACACUGAGAGACGACAGCUAGGGGAGCAAACGGGAUUAGAUACCCCGGUAGUCCUAGCCGUAAACGAUGGAUACUAGAUGUUGCACGUAUUAACCCGUGCAGUAUCGUAGCUAAGGCGUUAAGUAUCCCGCUGGGAAGUACGCUCGCAAGAGUGAAACUUAAAUGAAAUUGACGG